rnacentral:misc_RNA from 1 species
CAAACGGGCCAAAGUUUUU